CGUUUUUUUGCAGAUUGUUCUUGGAGAGCUUCAGUGCUCAGUACUUAGUAUAAUAAAUAAGAUGGGCCCUUAGGGCAUAAUAAUUAACCUAACAAAUGUUUAAGAAAGAUUUUUAACAAGUAAGAGCAGGUCUUGUCACUUCAAUGGUGUAAGAGAUUAUUCUUUUGCACUAUUGUCUCAAAGUUUGCUGAGGAACACUGAUGGACACAUCCUGGGCAAGGGCUGAGAAAUCUUUUGUCUGAAGGACACAGACGGUAAAGUCCGGACAAGUCCUUGUCAAAGUUGGCGAAAUCUUUUGUCUGAAGAUUUUACAAGCCAGGGGCAACGAGAGAGAGAUAAAUCGCAGCUUAAUGGCCGGGAAGCAGUCUUUUGUGUGGGUUUAUCUCGAGGGAUAUAGCCAUCUCGGGGGGGUACUGCACAUGGCUCUUACCCAAGCUUCUGCCACACUGGCAGAAGAAGAAGGAUAAAAAGGGGGCCAACAACCAAGAGAUUAGGUGUCAGACAUCAGAAGCCUUACGAGCUGAUGCCUGAAAGCUGAAGGACUCUCUUCUGGACCUGCUACCUGAGAUCUGCUGCUUCCUCCUGGACUUACCCAGCUGCUUGUUCCUGGCACCUGCUUGCAGCUUAAAGCCUGUCACGCUGCUGCUGCUCUCCCCCUGCGCUUUUGCCUCGGACAAUCGGAACAACAUACAACGGGACGCUGCUGGAUCUUGGUGCCUUCGAACUUCUUCCCCACAUGUCCCAGAAGAGGGAAGCGUGGUGCGAGGGGAAGCCCUGUCACUGUUGAUAUAAUCAAGUAAACAGCAACAAUGUGAUAAUACAAGAGAAAUGCAGAGGACUGGUAUUUUGUUUAGUGUCAGUGUGAGGACAAUGUUGGUAAUCUCUUUCAAAUUCUUUUCAAUAAAAACAAUCAACUAUUUGCAGGAAUAUUUGCCCUCUUGAUUUAGUGCAUGGUUCCCAGCUUAGAAUGCAGUUACAAAAUAUCUCUUUAAAAAAUAAUUCUUUAACAUCUGUAUUUUUAUAUGUAGUUGUUCUGAGUUUUAAAAUAUGUUCUGAUAAAGGAUCAUCCAGAUAUCUCUAAUAUCUGGUGACAAAAUUUUGUGCCAUAGCAUCAGUCAAAAUGAGACUCAGUCAAAACGUGACUCAGACAAAAUGUUUUGGUGUUGUAUCUACCAUAACACUGAUGAUAGAUGAGAAUUUUCUGUAUUUUGUCAUAUGGGCACAUAAAUCAUAAAAUAUGUCUUUAUACAUAUCAUGUUAUUUAGUGCACAUUUUCACCAACUACACCACAUGAUGCAAAGACGUUGAUACCAUACAUUUUCUGCAUUCUGUAGGCAUGGAGGAGUAUAAGAAGUUUGAUAGACAGCUAAGGAACAGGAGUCUCCUACAUCAGGAAGGAUACACACCUUGUAUACCAUCAUUUUUAGCACAUAUAUCUUCCUUAUAAGACAUGCACUCUAAAAAUUUGAAAUUUUGGCUUUGAUUCAGCAGUCAUUUGCUACUGACAGGGAUCUUGAACAAUACACCAGUCAACAAGUAGCAAUUCAAGUGCCCAGAAAUCUUAGACUGUGGGUAAUUUUACCAAUAAGUAAGCGAUGAUUUUAAAAAGCUAGAAGGAGACUUGGUAAUUCCCAAUACAUGUGAUGAUCUGAGCCUUAUGACUAGUCUUAUGUUAGCUUACAGUGAAGGAGAGAUUUCCCAGAGGUUUAUUGUUGUGGUUUAACCCAGCAGGUGGCUGAGCUUCAUGCAGUUGCUUGCUCACUCACUCCCCCUUUCCAAGUGGAAUGGGGGAGAGAAUCAGGAAAAAAAAAAAAAAAAAAAAAAGUAGAACUUAGUACAAAAAAAAGUAGAAUAAUGUACAGUACAGCUAAUUUUCAGAUGUCUGCUAACAUUUAAUUUAAAGCUUCACCAUUACUUUGUUUUUAUACAUCUUGUGUAAUCAUUUGACAAUUUUUUGAAAUGGUAGAUUAAUAUUAGUACGAAUGAGCUAGCAAGCUGUCCAAGGGUAAGUAGAAAGCAGAGGAAUGAGAAAGCCUGCUUAUGAAUAGUAAGCAAAAUAAAAACAAGUCAUGGUAAAGGAUUUAUUUAUUUUUUUUCUUUAAUAUUGCAUUGUAUAUAUUAACUGUGAAGCAAAUGACUGGAAAACAACAGUGAGCUAUUCAUGGUAUCAUGCUAAACUACGGUAAAAAAUAAGCAUGUUUCCUAUUUAAAUGUUGAAGGUUUGAACAUUAUCUUUUAUUCUUCUCUGCGGUGGCAUGCAGAUCAAAAGAUGACAGUCACGUAGUAAAAUGCAUAUUUAUUAAUUUACAUUGUAGUAAUUUAAGCAAUUGUCGAAUAAUUUAGAUGUCUUGCAUAUAUUUACCUUCAUAACUGGGUUCUGAAAAUAAGAAGGCUAUAUUUGAACAGACUAUCAUGAAUGUGAAAAUAUAUUCCCAAAAAUAAGCAAAUUCAAGAAGAUUAUAUUGGUUUUGGUUUGCUUUGUUGUUUUAUUAUUUUAUCUUACUUUUUAAUUCAUCCUACCCGCAUAAGUGCCUAAGGAGAAUAUGCAGAGUCAUGUGCACUCCCUAACAGAUGCCUCCUAUUUUAAACACCACUGCCUAAUUAGAUGAGAACUGCACAAGGCAAAAUAGCAGAACCUGCAAGCAGAAUGAGGAACAUGUGGGAUUUACAUUUUUCAUUAGUCCAAAUCUGCACAUCCACUAACUCAAACAUUUUUGACCACAAGAUUAAAAAUCAGAAAAAUAUGAAAGAGUUAAGAGUUAGCAAAGGUAUCAGAGAUGAAUAUGAGGGCCUCAUCAGAGGCUGCCCAUUCCUAUUUCUGUUCUUUCUGCAGGUUGCUCUAAAUGCAUCUUGCUUGGUUCCCGACAGUGUUGUUCUCACUGAUGGAGAGUGAAGCCAGAAAGAAUAACCCUAAGGACAGGUCUAAUAUUUGAGCAGAAGACAGUUACAUGAAACAGAAGCAACAUUCAUUUACAACUUAUAUGAACCUGGAUCCUCUUAUACCUGAUGUAAAAGUAUGCAAUGAGUACUUUUCCUCAUGAGUUAAUUAUUGAUCUUUGAUGAUAUACAAAGUACUUAAGCAAGCUGUGUGGGUAAAUGUCUUCUGCCUCCCUUAAUUCAACUGCUCUAGAGAGCACAUAACCAUGUGAUUGCAUUCAAACAAACAUCUUAAUGAAUAUAAAAGCUGUCAAACCAUGUCUAUAGUAUCAGAGGCAUUUCUGAAUAUAACAAAACAUGAAUAACUUUAGGUAAUGUAAAUAUAUGUCACUAAUGUAUAUUACUGCAGGAGUCAUUAAUUAUAUGAGUGUUGUGAACACAGUCAUAAUUACAGUCUCUAAAUUUUGUUGUACUUUCAGUGAUACCACUGUUAAAAUUUGGGACUAUUGGUUUAUCUUCAGAACAAUUUGUGCAAGGCAAAUAAAAUUAAUGUAAAAAUUUUCAUUGUGCUAUUUUCAAAAAUCACUCCUUGUGAUUCAUAGGACCUAGAUAAACAUAUUACUGUUGAAAAUACUCACCCAUUCCAUAUAUAUAAUUUUAUGCUAGAUUUUUUUCAAACUAUUCAUUUUUGAGAUGUCAUGUCAAGUAUUGAGAACAUAUUAAAAUAGUAAUAUAAUUUUUAAAUAAAAAAAUAUUUAAA
ensembl:lncRNA